ACAGCUGGCGACCGGUGUGAGUAACACGUGACCAACCUGCCCUCGAGUGGGGAACAACAGCGGGAAACCGCUGCUAAUACCGCAUAACAUCCUUGAGUCGGAAGACUUGGGGAUCAAAGGACCAAUUCGCUUGAGGAGGGGGUCGCGGCUGAUUAUCUAGUUGGCGGGGUAAUGGCCCACCAAGGCAAAGAUCGGUAUCCGGCCUGAGAGGGCGCACGGACACACUGGAACUGAAACACGGUCCAGACUCCUACGGGAGGCAGCAAUGGGGAGUUUUGCACAAUGGGGGAAACCCUGACGCAUCAACGCCCCGUGGAGGAUGAAGUCCCUUGCCGACGUAUACUCCUUUCGACCCGGACCAUAAUGACGGGUCCGGUGGGAAUAACCACCGCCCUACCUCUGUUCCCAACAGCCCCGGUUAUUAAUCACUACAUGAAUUUCGGCGGCCCC
rnacentral:rRNA from 1 species